AAAUGCGGGGCAAGAAGACAUAAGGACUCUGGCGAAUAAGCUCCCCGGAACUAAGUUAGUAACACGCAUUAUUUGGACAUGAAUGCACCCAGAUGGAAAGAGAGAGGAGAUCAGUGUGUUGAA